rnacentral:tRNA from 1 species
GAAACUGUGCCCGAACGUUUAGGGACCACUUUGAUAGAGUGAUUUAUAGAGGUUAAAAUCCACUCAGUUUCU